UACAGAGGGUGCGAGCGUUAAUCGGAAUUACUGGGCGUAAAGGGCGCGUAGGCGGCCUUCUAAGUCAGAACGUGAAAUCCCCCGGCUUAACCUGGGAACUGCGUCUGAUACUGGAGGGCUUGAGUAUGGGAGAGGGAUGUAGAAUUCCAGGUGUAGCGGUGAAAUGCGUAGAUAUCUGGAGGAAUACCGGUGGCGAAGGCGGCAUCCUGGACCAUUACUGACGCUGAGGUGCGAAAGCGUGGGGAGCAAACAGGG
rnacentral:rRNA from 1 species